GAUGAACGCUGGCGGCGUGCUUAACACAUGCAAGUCGAGCGAGAAAAGUUCUUCGGAGCUUUUCUAGCGGCGGACGGGUGAGUAACACGUGGGCAACCUGCCUCAUAGAGGGGAAUAGCCUUCCGAAAGGAAGAUUAAUACCGCAUAAUAUUGUUGAAAGGCAUCUUUUAACAAUCAAAGGAGCAAUCCGCUAUGAGAUGGGCCCGCGGCGCAUUAGCUAGUUGGUGAGGUAACGGCUCACCAAGGCGACGAUGCGUAGCCGACCUGAGAGGGUGAUCGGCCACAUUGGAACUGAGACACGGUCCAGACUCCUACGGGAGGCAGGAGUGGGGAAUAUUGCACAAUGGGGGAAACCCUGAUGCAGCAACGCCGCGUGAGUGAUGAAGGUCUUCGGAUUGUAAAGCUCUGUCUUUAGGGACGAUAAUGACGGUACCUAAGGAGGAAGCCACGGCUAACUACGUGCCAGCCGCCGCCGUAAGAC
rnacentral:rRNA from 1 species